rnacentral:rRNA from 1 species
UACGAAGGGUGCAAACGUUGCUCGGAAUCAUUGGGCGUAAAGCGCACGUAGGCGGCUUCGCAAGUCGGAUGUGAAAUCCCACGGCUCAACCAUGGACGUGCAUCCGAAACUGUGAGGCUUGAGUAUGGAAGAGGGUCGCGGAAUUCCCGGUGUAGAGGUGAAAUUCGUAGAUAUCGGGAGGAACACCGGCGGCGAAGGCGGCUGCCUGGACCAGUCCUGACGC